rnacentral:lncRNA from 1 species
CUUCCAAUGCGGUUCUAAUUCUAGACAUGAAUAAGAUCCCCAGUGCAUGGGAACCCAGCAAUAGAUGGGUUGACAUUUGUAACAAAACCACGAAGAAUAAUUUUGACGGUGUGUUCUCAACUUCUCGUACCAUUCGUGUGCACUGCUCUGUGAAUGUGUGAUUGAUCCCGAGAGAGAGAAAGAGAAAGGUCUUACUUAACGUCCCAAAGAUGAUCAUGAGAUGCCCAAAUCUUUCAUGUCCAUCUCUUUGUAGUACAACUUUGUACUACAUCUCUUUGUAGUACAACUUUAUACUACAUCUGCAGCAUGUAAUAUGGGUCACUGGCUCACUACCUUUUCGACGCCAUGGCGGCUGGCCUUCUUUUUUUUUGUGUAAGAAAAGGAAGAAGCAAACGCAAAAUCACACAUUCAGGAAGCAUAUGUACGAAUGGUAUGAGAGGAGAUAUUGUCAAAUUGAUUGUUUCAUGUUUUGUUCUAUAAAGGUCGAUUGAUCUCUUACCGGGUUCCCAUCCAUGCACUCAGGGUCGUAUUCCUCGCUAGAACUACUACAACCCCGCGAGCGAACGAUCUAAGAAAAAAAACACGGAUUAGAAAUCCUCUCAAGGCUCUUCCUCGAUCACCGAGGACACACACCGGCGACACGACGACACGCGCAUGUCCGAGGCGUUGAGACGGUGUGUCCUUCUUGAACACGCUGCAUACACCUAGUCCUCCACAGCUUUGCCAAUGUUGGCCGGGGUGGCUAAGAAGACAGGCGUUUCCUUGAGGGGCAUGGACACGUGACGCGGCGACCCGACAACUAGCUCCGCCUCCUUCCUGACACCAUCCACGCGCCAUUCCCGCGCGCACAUCUCAUCGCCGACCAACUGAAAGAGAAUCUCUCGUUGCGCCUCUCGUGGUGUGCCCGCACACUCACAGAUACAUAAUGCCAUCGGUCUAUAAUUAAUCUGUGGGCGUCGAAAGAGUGGCUGGCAUGGAUCAUGGACAUUAGCGGGGUUGGUUCGAGCCUGGGAGGUCAGAUGGAUUGAGUAGAGGCGAGGACUAGGAUGAUGUUUGCUUUCAGAGGAGAAUGCAAAACGUUUGCUUGGUAGUAAAGGCCCAUCUCAAUUAUGGGCUCCAAUGUCUUGUGGCGGACCGUAAAUGCAAAGGGAAAAUGGCCCAGCAAGGCCAUUCACAAAAAAACCGAGGGACGAAAAACUAAAAGUAACAUUUAAUUUCUAGUUUACAGAAAAAUAAAAACAAAAAAAACUCACCGGUGGUGGCACGACGACGGCGGGCUCCUGACGGCAACAUGAUCUGCGAAGCCCUCCCGUCGGCAACCGAUAUGGGCCAUGGCGGCGGCGGGGCCGCCAGAUCCGGCCUCCCGACGACUUUCCUUUCAGCCCGCGUCUUCCCUAGCGGUGAUGUCUCGACAGCGGCGGAUCUCGGAUGCGUUGCUCAGAUCUGCCAUAUUCCUGCGAUGACAAAAGAUCUCCAGGUAGUAACUGGAUACGAUGGCAUCGGACGGCACCAUGGGGAGAGGGUUGCGACAACGACGUGUGAAUGGGAAGGGGAGAGUGCGCGGUGGGCGUGAGGAGGGAGAUGGCUACAGGCGUGAGGGGCGACGCGCGAGAAGAAGAAAGAGAGAUGGAUGCCCUGGGGCUAAGGAGGAGGAGGAGGAGGAGGAAGAUUAGGUUGGGAGAGAGCGAGGUCAGCGUGUGGGAGAAGGAGUAGGCGGGGAAAGAGGAUGGCUUGUGCAUGAGGAGGAAGGACCGAGCUAAAAAAGACAGUGAAGUGUAGCGGACGCAACCUGUGGAAUAGUCCGCCACGCGCGGACGAGGUUUCUUCUGCAAAAAGAAAUGGAGAAUUUUCUAUUGUUUUUUCAAAGGAGAAUGCAAAACGUUUGCUUGCUAGUAAAGGCCCAUCUCAAUUAUGGGCUCCAAUUCCUUGUGGCGGACCGUAAAUGCAAAGGGGAAAUGGCCCAGCAACGCCCAUUCACAAAAAACCGAGGGACC